AUUGAACGCUGGCGGCAGGCCUAACACAUGCAAGUCGAGCGGAUGAAGGGAGCUUGCUCCUGGAUUCAGCGGCGGACGGGUGAGUAAUGCCUAGGAAUCUGCCUGGUAGUGGGGGAUAACGUCCGGAAACGGGCGCUAAUACCGCAUGCGUCCUGAGUGAGAAAGUGGGGGAUCUUCGGACCUCACGCUAUCAGAUGAGCCUAGGUCGGAUUAGCUAGUUGGUGGGGUAAAGGCCUACCAAGGCGACGAUCCGUAACUGGUCUGAGAGGAUGAUCAGUCACACUGGAACUGAGACACGGCCCAGACUCCUACGGGAGGCAGCAGUGGGGAAUAUUGGACAAUGGGCGAAAGCCUGAUCCAGCCAUGCCGCGUGUGUGAAGAAGGUCUUCGGAUUGUAAAGCACUUUAAGUUGGGAGGAAGGGCAGUAAGUUAAUACCUUGCUGUUUUGACGUUACCAUCAGAAUAAGCACCGGCUAACUUCGUG
rnacentral:rRNA from 1 species